rnacentral:rRNA from 1 species
UAUGGUCACAUCACGUUGAAACACCAAUUCCUGUACAAUCACAGAAGUUAAGCAAUGUCGAGCUUGAUCAGUACCUUAAUGGGUAACUGCUUGGGAAUAUCAGGUGCUGUAA